CAGCAACAAGCUUUGUCCUUACUGUGUUUGCGUGAAGUAGCUCUUCGUUCUAAAAUUGGGAGUCCAGUACAAGGCCAUUGAAUUGGACCAAGAGAUGUCUGUCUAUAUAUGCUUCAAACUAAGGGCAAUAGAAUGGUGUAUUUCGGUGAUAUGAACUGGUUCCCACUCCUCAAGCGAUCCAAGACUGUA